rnacentral:rRNA from 1 species
UACGUAGGGCGCGAGCGUUGUCCGGAUUUAUUGGGCGUAAAGAGCUCGUAGGCGGCUUGUCGCGUCGACUGUGAAAACCCGAGGCUCAACCUCGGGUCUGCAGUCGAUACGAGCAAACUAGAGUGUUGCAGGGGAGACUGGAAUUCCUGGUGUAGCGGUGAAAUGCGCAGAUAUCAGGAGGAACACCGGUGGCGAAGGCGGGUCUCUGGGCAACAACUGACGCUGAGGAGCGAAAGCGUGGGGAGCGAACAGG